rnacentral:rRNA from 1 species
GAUACCGCCCUAGUUCUAACCAUAAACGAUGCCAACCAGCGAUCCGCCUGGGUUCCUCAAAUGACUCGGCGGGCAGCUUCCGGGAAACCAAAGUGUUUGGGUUCCGGGGGAAGUAUGGUUGCAAAACUUAAACUUAAAGGAAUUGACGGAAGGGCACCACCAGGUGUGGAGCCUGCGGCUUAAUUUGACUCAACACGGGAAAACUUACCCGGCCCGGACACUGGAAGGAUUGACAGAUUAAGAGCUCUUUCUUGAUUCAGUGGGUGGUGGUGCAUGGCCGUUCUUAGUUGGUGGAGCGAUUUGUCUGGUUUAUUCCGAUAACGAACGAGACUCUAGCCUACUAAAUAGGCGUUCCGAUCCCUUGCGUCGGGCGCUCUUCUUAGAGGGACAAGCGGCGUUUAGCCGCACGAGACAGAGCAAUAACAGGUCUGUGAUGCCCUUAGAUGUCCGGGGCCGCACGCGCGCUACACUGAAGGAAUCAGCGUGUGCUCUCCCUGUCCGCCAGGACUGGGUAACCCGUUGAACCUCCUUCGUGAUAGGGAUAGGGGCUUGUAAUUGUUCCCCUUGAACGAGGAAUACCCAGUAAGCGCGAGUCAUAAGCUCGUGUUGAUUAUGUCCCUGCCCUUUGUACACACCGCCCGUCGCUACUACCGAU